GGCCCAAAUUUGAAGUAGAGUAGAUAAGAAGAAUAAUCUGACUCUGCUGAACUAGUCUACUUCGAGUUUGUGCCC
rnacentral:pre_miRNA from 1 species